AUUGAACGCUGGCGGCAUGCCUUACACAUGCAAGUCGAACGGUAACGGGCCUUCGGGUGCCGACGAGUGGCGAACGGGUGAGUAAUGCAUCGGAACGUACCUUUCAGUGGGGGAUAACGUAGCGAAAGUUACGCUAAUACCGCAUAUUCUGUGAGCAGGAAAGCAGGGGAUCGCAAGACCUUGCGCUGAUUGAGCGGCCGAUGUCAGAUUAGCUAGUUGGUGAGGUAAAGGCUCACCAAGGCGACGAUCUGUAGCGGGUCUGAGAGGAUGAUCCGCCACACUGGAACUGAGACACGGUCCAGACUCCUACGGGAGGCAGCAGUGGGGGAAUUUUGGACAAUGGGGGGCAACCCUGAUCCAGCCAUGCCGCGUGAGUGAAGAAGGCCUUC
rnacentral:rRNA from 1 species